rnacentral:rRNA from 1 species
AUGGAGUCAUGCCCGAGGAAAGAGUCAGCAGAACAGGAACGUGUACCUGUACUUCUACUGAAAAUUAACGACACUGCUCCUCAAAGAAAGACGGUUAUUAUACUACUGCACAACUCUUACAAAUGCAAGGAAUGGUUGUGUCCACUGCUUCAGGCACUGAACUCAUCUUGGAGGAGUGGGAAAACUAUACCUUUCAUUUUUACACGGUACCAUACAUUACUUCCACUUGUUAAAAUUAUUAUUUUUAUCAUCCUUAAAUUGUGUUGUUCAAUUUGUCCAUCAAAUAUAGUUUUUAAUAAAUGGAUAGUUAUGUACUCAAAGAAUAUGAGACCAAAAAUACGUAAGAUGUUCCUUUAG